GAUGAACGCUGGCGGCGUGCUUAACACAUGCAAGUCGAACGGAAAGGCUCCUGCUUGCAGGGGUACUCGAGUGGCGAACGGGUGAGUAACACGUGGGUGAUCUGCCCUGCACUUCGGGAUAAGCCUUGGAAACUGGGUCUAAUACCGGAUAGGACGAUGUUUUGGAUGCCAUUGUGGAAAGUUUUUCGGUGUGGGAUGAGCUCGCGGCCUAUCAGCUUGUUGGUGGGGUAAUGGCCUACCAAGGCGUCGACGGGUAGCCGGCCUGAGAGGGUGUACGGCCACAUUGGGACUGAGAGACGGACCAGACUCCUACGGGAGGCAGCAGUGGGGAAUAUUGCACAAUGGGCGCAAGCCUGAUGCAGCGACGCCGCGUGGGGGAUGACGGCCUUCGGGUUGUAAACUCCUUUCGCUAGGGACGAAGCGCAAGUGACGGUACCUGGAGAAGAAGCACCGGCUAACUACGUG
rnacentral:rRNA from 1 species